UACGUAGGGGGCUAGCGUUGUUCGGAAUUACUGGGCGUAAAGCGCACGUAGGCGGCUUUGUAAGUUAGAGGUGAAAGCCCGGGGGCUCAACCCCCGGAAUUGCCUUUGAGACUGCAUCGCUAGAAUUGUGGAGAGGUAAGUGGAAUUCCGAGUGUAGAGGUGAAAUUCGUAGAUAUUCGCAAGAACACCAGUGGCGAAGGCGGCUUACUGGUCCGGUUCUGACGCUGAGGCGCGAAAGCGUGGGGGAGCAAACAGG
rnacentral:rRNA from 1 species